AUGUCCACCAGUGUCACCGUGUCCGGGGGUGUCACCGUGUCCGGGGGUGUCACCGUGUCCAGAGGUGUCACCGUGUCCGGGGGUGUCACCAUGUCUGGUGUCACCGUGUCCAGAGGUGUCACCGUGUCCGGGGGUGUCACCAUGUCCGGGGGUGUCACCGUGUCCAGUGUCACCGUGUCCAGUGUCACCGUGUCCAGUGUCACCGUGUCCUGUGUCACCAUGUCUGGUGUCACCAUGUCCGGGGGUGUCACCACAUCCGGGGGUGUCACCGUGUCCAGAGGUGUCACCGUGUCCAGUGUCACAGUGUCCAGUGUCACCACAUCCGGGGGUGUCACCGUGUCCAGAGGUGUCACCGAGUCUGGCGGUGUCACCGUGUCCUGUGUCACCGAGUCUGGCGGUGUCACCAUGUCCUGUGUCACCGAGUCUGGCGGUGUCACCGUGUCCUGUGUCACCAUGUCUGGCAGUGUCACUGUGUCUGGUGUCACCGUGUCUGGUGUCACCGUGUCUGGUGUCACCGUGUCCGGGGGUGUCACCGAGUCUCCAAGUCAUGAAGGGGCCGGGGGGUGGCUGGGCCCACUCGGGGACACCGGGGACAGUGGGGACACCACUGGGGACACCACUGGAGACACUGCUGGGGACAUUGGGGACACUGGGGACACUGCUGGGGACACUGCUGGGGACACUGGGGACAGUGGGGACACCGCUGGGGACACUGCUGGGGACACUGGGGACACUGGGGAUGGUGCUGUGGCAGUUGGGGACACUCUUGGUGACACUGGGGACAUUGUUGGUGACACUGAGAACACUGUUGGUGACACUGGGGACACUGAGGACACUCUUGGUGACACUGUUGGUGACACUGUUGGGGACACUGUUGGGGACGUUGUUGUUGUUGCCGGUGGCAUCGGCCGCCCCCAGCGAGAGCAGCAGCUGCCGGUGAGAGACUUCCAGAGC
rnacentral:lncRNA from 1 species